AACGAACGCUGGCGGCAUGCCUAACACAUGCAAGUCGAACGAGACCUUCGGGUCUAGUGGCGCACGGGUGCGUAACGCGUGGGAACCUGCCCUUAGGUUCGGAAUAACUCCCCGAAAGGGGUGCUAAUACCGGAUAAUGUCUUCGGACCAAAGAUUUAUCGCCUUUGGAUGGGCCCGCGUUGGAUUAGCUAGUUGGUAGGGUAAAAGCCUACCAAGGCGACGAUCCAUAGCUGGUCUGAGAGGAUGAUCAGCCACACUGGGACUGAGACACGGCCCAGACUCCUACGGGAGGCAGCAGUGGGGAAUAUUGGACGAUGGGCGAAAGCCUGGUCCAGCAAUGCCGCGUGAGUGAUGAAGGCCUUAGGGUUGUAAAGCUCUUUUACCCGGGAUGAUAAUGACAGUACCGGGAGAAUAAGCUCCGGCUAACUCCGUG
rnacentral:rRNA from 1 species